CCUACGGGGGGCAGCAGUGGGGAAUAUUGGACAAUGGGCGAAAGCCUGAUCCAGCCAUGCCGCGUGUGUGAAGAAGGCCUUCGGGUUGUAAAGCACUUUCAGUGGGGAAGAAAGCCUGGGGGCUAAUACCCUCGAGGAAGGACAUCACCGACAGAAUAAGCACCGGCUAACUCCGUGCCAGCAGCCGCGGUAAUACGGAGGGUGCGAGCGUUAAUCGGAAUUACUGGGCGUAAAGCGCGCGUAGGCGGUCUGAUAAGCCGGUUGUGAAAGCCCCGGGCUCAACCUGGGAACGGCAUCCGGAACUGUCAGGCUAGAGUGCAGGAGAGGAAGGUAGAAUUCCCGGUGUAGCGGUGAAAUGCGUAGAGAUCGGGAGGAAUACCAGUGGCGAAGGCGGCCUUCUGGACUGACACUGACGCUGAGGUGCGAAAGCGUGGGUAGCAAACAGGAUUAGAUACCCUAGUAGUC
rnacentral:rRNA from 1 species